UACGUAGGGCGCAAGCGUUGUCCGGAAUUAUUGGGCGUAAAGAGCUCGUAGGUGGCCUGUCGCGUCGGCUGUGAAAACUCGGGGCUCAACUCCGAGCUUGCAGUCGAUACGGGCAGGCUAGAGUUCGGCAGGGGAGACUGGAAUUCCUGGUGUAGCGGUGAAAUGCGUUGAUAUCUACAGGAACUCCGGUGGCGAAGGCGGCACGCUGGACCUUUUCUGACGCUGAGGCGCGAAAGCCAGGGGAGCAAACGGG
rnacentral:rRNA from 1 species